UAACUGUUUCGUUAAAAGUCACAGUUUCAGCAGUCCUUGCACUUAUAGCACACAAGACACCGACUCUAACUGUGUGGAGCGAGGCCUCAUGGGUUAGAUGUGGAUUCUGUUAACUCCAGUAGCGAUUAUUUUGCAUAUUUAUGUAUCCCUGCAAGUGAAACCUUGCUUCAUUAGAGAGACAUGUAAACUGUGGAUCAGUCUCGCCUUCAAUGACAGACUGUUGAAACCAACUGUAAAAUGAACCCUGCUAGCUGAAUCAUGUGGCUGCAAGUUGUGGAUUGCUGUUGUUUUAUAAGGCAUAAGCUUCAUGCACUAGACUUUGAUACUUCUGUCUCUUGAGCUGGACGUAUCAGCGUAUGUUCAAGUUUGGCCCCUGUGUCCUAACUUCUCCUCAGCAGAACCUCCUUGCAGGAGUGCCCAGAAGAUGCUGACGAUGAUAUUUUGAUUUUAGAUGAUGAAGACCUUGUGAAAGAAAUGGACAAUCUCUUUAGUGAUUUAAACUUGUAGUUUUCUAAUUAUAUGUAUAAGGAAUGUAUUCUGAUUAUUUUGUAAUUUUCUAAUUGUAUAAGGAAUGUAUUUUUAUUAUUUUAAAUUAAUAAAUCUAUAGUUUUGUAAACAGAAACCAAGCGUUCAUUAUUUUUUUUUUAGAACACUCAGAUGUGUCAGUUGCAUGACUUAAGAAAAAUGUUGUCCAUAUGCUUAAUCAGUUAAGCACUAUGCCACAGUGGAGGUCUAGUUCCACCAUUCUUGACCAUGGCACUAGAUGGAGGUGAGUGGUCACCUUCACUCCCUUCCUGAUUUAUCCCCAGUACAGACUGGAUAGGAGGCAGAGAUGGGGGCUUUGAAAACUGUUGCUUAUCAGAAUGAGAAUUGCUACAUACACAGAACCACUGUGUUACAUUGGGAGCAUUGCAAACUAGACUUUUGAAAGCUGCUGCUCAUUUGUCUGCUUCAGUAAUUAAAUGAUUAUUUGAAAUACAUUCAUGUUGUAAGAUAUAGGUAUAAUGGUCACAUGUAUGAAUUCUGUGUUGUUCAGUAGCUAGGAAGCAGACCUAGGUUUGUUGUUGGCACACAAUGGUUUUGUUUUGGCUAAACUGACCAAGAAACAAUUACGGAUUUUU